CGGUGAUGAGUUUUGAGUUUAGCUGGAAUUACCGGCAGAUUGUUUGGUGGUGAGAAAACGACUCUUCUGAGC